UCGAAAGAAAGAUUAAUACCCGAUAGUAUAAUGAUUCCGCAUGGUUUCAUUAUUAAAGGAUUCCGGUAAAGGAUGGGGAUGCGUUCCAUUAGGUUGUUGGUGAGGUAACGGCUCACCAAGCCUUCGAUGGAUAGGGGUUCUGAGAGGAAGGUCCCCCACAUUGGAACUGAGACACGGUCCAAACUCCUACGGGAGGCAGCAUG
rnacentral:rRNA from 1 species